UAGGGAAUAUUGGUCAAUGGGCGAGAGCCUGAACCAGCCAUGCCGCGUGCAGGAUGACGGCCUUCUGGGUUGUAAACUGCUUUUAUAUGGGAAGAAAAAGGCCUUGCGAGGCAAAUUGCCGGUACCAUAUGAAUAAGCACCGGCUAACUCCGUGCCAGCAGCCGCGGUAAUACGGAGGGUGCAAGCGUUGUCCGGAAUUAUUGGGCGUAAAGCGUCCGUAGGCGGUUUAUCAAGUCAGUUGUUAAAGACUGCAGCUCAACUGUGGGCGAGCAACUGAAACUGAUGAACUAGAGUGCGGUAGGGGUAGAGGGAAUUCCCAGUGUAGCGGUGAAAUGCGUAGAUAUUGGGAAGAACACCAGUGGCGAAGGCGCUCUACUGGGCCGCAACUGACGCUGAGGGACGAAAGCUAGGGGAGCGAAAGGGAUUAGAUACCCCUGUAGUCC
rnacentral:rRNA from 1 species